CUAGCAUAUCAAUAAGCGGAGGAAAAGAAACCCAACAGGGAUUGCCCUAGUAACGGCGAGUGAAGCGGCAACAGCUCAAAUUUGAAAUCUGGCUCUCGGGCCCGAGUUGUAAUUUGUAGAGGAUGCUUUUGAUGCGGUGCCUUCCGAGUUCCCUGGAACGGGACGCCAUAGAGGGUGAGAGCCCCGUCUGGUUGGAUGCCAAAUCUCUGUAAAGCUCCUUCGACGAGUCGAGUAGUUUGGGAAUGCUGCUCUAAAUGGGAGGUAUAUGUCUUCUAAAGCUAAAUACCGGCCAGAGACCGAUAGCGCACAAGUAGAGUGAUCGAAAGAUGAAAAGCACUUUGAAAAGAGAGUUAAAAAGUACGUGAAAUUGUUGAAAGGGAAGCGUUUAUGACCAGACUUGGGCUUGGUUAAUCAUCUGGGGUUCUCCCCAGUGCACUUUUCCAGUCCAGGCCAGCAUCAGUUUUCGCCGGGGGAUAAAGGCUUCGGGAAUGUGGCUCUCUCCGGGGAGUGUUAUAGCCCGUUGCGUAAUACCCUGGCGGGGACUGAGGUUCGCGCAUCUGCAAGGAUGCUGGCGUAAUGGUCAUCAACGACCCGUCUUGAAACACGGACCAAGGAGUCGUCUUCGUAUGCGAGUGUUCGGGUGUCAAACCCCUACGCGUAAUGAAAGUGAACGCAGGUGAGAGCUUCGGCGCAUCAUCGACCGAUCCUGAUGUUCUCGGAUGGAUUUGAGUAAGAGCAUACGGGGCCGGACCCGAAAGAAGGUGAACUAUGCCUGUGUAGGGUGAAGCCAGAGGAAACUCUGGUGGAGGCUCGCAGCGGUUCUGACGUGCAAAUCGAUCGUCAAACAUGGGCAUGGGGGGCGAAAGACUAAUCGAACCUUCUAGUAGCUGGUUUCCGCCGAGCUU
rnacentral:rRNA from 1 species